UACGAGUGCCCCAAGCGUUAUCCGGAAUCAUUGGGCGUAAAGGGUGUGUAGGUGGUGUUGUUAGUCUUUUGUUAAAUUCUUCGGCUCAACCGGGGUCCUGCAAAAGAAACGGCAAUACUAGAGGAUGUUAGGGGUGUACGGAACUCAUGGAGUAGGGGUGAAAUCCGUUGAUAUCAUGGGGAACACCAAAAGCGAAGGCAGUACACUGGAGCAUUCCUGACACUGAAACACGAAAGCGUGGGUAGCGAACGGG
rnacentral:rRNA from 1 species